GAUGAAGAACGUAGCGAAAUGCGAUACGUAGUGUGAAUUGCAGAAUUCAGUGAAUCAUCGAAUCUUUGAACGCACAUUGCACCUCUCGGUAUUCCGGGAGGUAUGCCUGUUCGAGCGUCAUUUGUACCCUCAAGCUCUGCUUGGUGUUGGGUGUUUGUUCCGCCUCUGUGUGUGAACUCGCCUCAAAACAAUUGGCAGCCGGCGUACUUGUUUCGGAGCGCAGCACAUUUUGCGAUCCAGAUCAACGUACAGCGGCAUCCAAGAAGCCUUAUUUAACGCUCUUGACCUCGGAUCAGGUAGGGAUACCCGCUGAACUUAAGCAUAUCAGCGGAGGA
rnacentral:misc_RNA from 1 species